CGACACUCCUGCGGGAGGCAGCAGUGGGGAAUAUUGGACAAUGGGCGCAAGCCUGAUCCAGCCAUGCCGCGUGAGUGAUGAAGGCCCUAGGGUUGUAAAGCUCUUUCACCGGUGAAGAUAAUGACGGUAACCGGAGAAGAAGCCCCGGCUAACUUCGUGCCAGCAGCCGCGGUAAUACGAAGGGGGCUAGCGUUGUUCGGAUUUACUGGGCGUAAAGCGCACGUAGGCGGACUAUUAAGUCAGGGGUGAAAUCCCGGGGCUCAACCCCGGAACUGCCUUUGAUACUGGUAGUCUUGAGUUCGAGAGAGGUGAGUGGAAUUCCGAGUGUAGAGGUGAAAUUCGUAGAUAUUCGGAGGAACACCAGUGGCGAAGGCGGCUCACUGGCUCGAUACUGACGCUGAGGUGCGAAAGCGUGGGGAGCAAACAGGAUUAGAAACCCUUGUAGUCCCA
rnacentral:rRNA from 1 species